UACGUAGGGUGCAAGCGUUAAUCGGAAUUACUGGGCGUAAAGCGUGCGCAGGCGGUUCGCUAAGACAGAUGUGAAAUCCCCGGGCUUAACCUGGGAACUGCAUUUGUGACUGGCGGGCUAGAGUAUGGCAGAGGGGGGGUAGAAUUCCACGUGUAGCAGUGAAAUGCGUAGAGAUGUGGAGGAACACCGAUGGCGAAGGCAGCCUCCUGGGCCAGCACUGACGCUCAUGCACGAAAGCGUGGGGAGCAAACAGG
rnacentral:rRNA from 1 species